rnacentral:rRNA from 1 species
UUCGGAUCUUUGAGAGCGGCGCACGGGUGCGGAACACGUGUGCAACCUGCCUUUAUCAGGGGGAUAGCCUUUCGAAAGGAAGAUUAAUACCCCAUAAUAUAAUGACUGGCAUCAGUUAUUAUUGAAAACUCCGGUGGAUAGAGAUGGGCACGCGCAAGAUUAGAUAGUUGGUGAGGUAACGGCUCACCAAGUCUGCGAUCUUUAGGGGGCCUGAGAGGGUGAUCCCCCACACUGGUACUGAGACACGGACCAGACUCCUACGGGAGGCAGCAGUGAGGAAUAUUGGACAAUGGGUGAGAGCCUGAUCCAGCCAUCCCGCGUGAAGGACGACGGCCCUAUGGGUUGUAAACUUCUUUUGUAUAGGGAUAAACCUACUCUCGUGAGAGUAGCUGAAGGUACUAUACGAAUAAGCACCGGCUAACUCCGUGCCAGCAGCCGCGGUAAUACGGAGGGUGCAAGCGUUAUCCGGAUUUAUUGGGUUUAAAGGGUCCGUAGGCUGAUUUGUAAGUCAGUGGUGAAAUCUCACAGCUCAACUGUGAAACUGCCAUUGAUACUGCAAGUCUUGAGUGUUGUUGAAGUAGCUGGAAUAAGUAGUGUAGCGGUGAAAUGCAUAGAUAUUACUUAGAACACCAAUUGCGAAGGCAGGUUACUAAGCAACAACUGACGCUGAUGGACGAAAGCGUGGGGAGCGAACAGGAUUAGAUACCCUGGUAGUCCACGCCGUAAACGAUGCUAACUCGUUUUUGGGUUUUCGGAUUCAGAGACUAAGCGAAAGUGAUAAGUUAGCCACCUGGGGAGUACGUUCGCAAGAAUGAAACUCAAAGGAAUUGACGGGGGCCCGCACAAGCGGUGGAUUAUGUGGUUUAAUUCGAUGAUACGCGAGGAACCUUACCAAGGCUUAAAUGGGAAUUGACAGGUUUAGAAAUAGACUUUUCUUCGGACAAUUUUCAAGGUGCUGCAUGGUUGUCGUCAGCUCGUGCCGUGAGGUGUUAGGUUAAGUCCUGCAACGAGCGCAACCCCUGUCACUAGUUGCCAUCAUUCAGUUGGGGACUCUAGUGAGACUGCCUACGCAAGUAGAGAGGAAGGUGGGGAUGACGUCAAAUCAUCACGGCCCUUACGCCUUGGGCCACACACGUAAUACAAUGGCCAGUACAGAGGGCAGCUACACAGCGAUGUGAUGCAAAUCUCGAAAGCUGGUCUCAGUUCGGAUUGGAGUCUGCAACUCGACUCUAUGAAGCUGGAAUCGCUAGUAAUCGCGCAUCAGCCAUGGCGCGGUGAAUACGUUCCCGGGCCUUGUACACACCGCCCGUCAAGCCAUGGAAGUCUGGGGUAC